rnacentral:rRNA from 1 species
UACGAAGGGGACUAGCGUUGUUCGGAAUCAUUGGGCGUAAAGCGCGUGUAGGCGGCCCGGUAAGUCCGCUGUGAAAACCCGCGGCUCAACUGUGGGCGGGCAGCUGAUACGGGCAGGCUGGAGUUCGGUAGGGGAGACUGGAAUUCCUGGUGUAGCGGUGAAAUGCGCAGAUAUCAGGAGGAACACCGGUGGCGAAGGCGGGUCUCUGGGCCGAUACUGACGCUGAGGAGCGAAAGCGUGGGGAGCGAACAGG